rnacentral:rRNA from 1 species
ACGGAAGGCAGCAGUGGGGGAUAUUGCACAAUGGGGGAAACCCUGAUGCAGCGACGCCGCGUGAGGGAAGAAGGUUUUCGGAUUGUAAACCUCUGUCUUUGGGGACGAUAAUGACGGUACCCAGGGAGGAAGCUCCGGCUAACUACGUGCCAGCAGCCGCGGUAAUACGUAGGGAGCAAGCGUUGUCCGGAAUUGCUGGGUGUAAAGGGAGCGUAGGCGGGUUUGCAAGUUGAAUGUGAAAUCUAUGGGCUCAACCCAUAAACUGCGUUCAAAACUGCAGAUCUUGAGUGGAGUAGAGGCAGGCGGAAUUCCUAGUGUAGCGGUGAAAUGCGUAGAUAUUAGGAGGAACACCAGUGGCGAAGGCGGCCUGCUGGGCUCUAACUGACGCUGAGGCUCGAAAGCGUGGGUAGCAAACAGGAUUAGAUACCCUGGUA